rnacentral:rRNA from 1 species
UACGUAGGGCGCAAGCGUUGUCCGGAAUUAUUGGGCGUAAAGAGCUCGUAGGCGGCCUGUUGCGUCCGCUGUGAAAUCCCGGGGCUCAACCCCGGGCCUGCAGUCGAUACGGGCGGACUUGAGUUCGGCAGGGGAGACUGGAAUUCCUGGUGUAGCGGUGAAAUGCGCAGAUAUCAGGAGGAACACCGGUGGCGAAGGCGGGCCUCUGGGCCACUACUGACGCUGAGAAGCGAAAGCAUGGGGAGCGAACAGG